UCCAGCCCCUUAAUUAGCUGAACCAGAUAUAAAGCACCUGUGGCAACAUGGGUGCCUCUUUGUCUUGUCUGCCUGCUGGUUGCCACAUGCUCCUUGCACUGAGAAAUUCAGACAUUUGGUCCCAGACAAUACGAUCCACAUCCCAUACCAGUCCCAUCAUUUUCAGCUAGCUCCACAGCUAGUGAACCUCUUGCCUGAUCUUCAUGCACAUGCAAAAAUGUUUUUGAUCUCCACUCCACUCUCCAACAGCACGUCGAAUAAACUCAAGUCCCAAGUA